UGUGUAGGCGGUUCUUUUAAGUUUGGUGUGAAAUCUCCCGGCUCAACUGGGAGGGAGCGCCGAAUACUGAGGGACUAGAGUACGGGAGAGGAAAGUGGAAUUCCUGGUGUAGCGGUGAAAUGCGUAGAUAUCAGGAGGAACACCGGUGGUGUAGACGGCUUUCUGGACCGACACUGACGCUGAGACACGAAAGCGUGGGUAGCAAACAGGAUUAGAUACCCUGGUAGUCCACGCCCUAAACGAUGCAUAUUUGGUGUGGGCAGUUCAUUCUGUCCGUGCCGGAGCUAACGCGUUAAAUAUGCCGCCUGGGGAGUACAGUCGCGAAGGCUGAA
rnacentral:rRNA from 1 species